CCGCCCGUCACACCAUGGAAGCCAGCUGUACCGGAAGUCGGUGCAUCAACCCGCAAGGGGAGAGCCGCCCAUGGUAUGGCUGAUAACUGGGGUG
rnacentral:rRNA from 1 species